rnacentral:rRNA from 1 species
GAUGAACGCUGGCGGUGUGCCUAAUACAUGCAAGUCGAGCGAACAGACGAGGAGCUUACUCCUCUGACGUUAGCGGCGGACGGGUGAGUAACACGUGGAUAACCUACCUAUAAGACUGGGAUAACUUCGGGAAACCGGAGCUAAUACCGGAUAACAUGUUGAACCGCAUGGUUCAACAGUGAAAGACGGUCUUGCUGUCACUUAUAGAUGGAUCCGCGUCGCAUUAGCUAGUUGGUAAGGUAACGGCUUACCAAGGCAACGAUGCGUAGCCGACCUGAGAGGGUGAUCGGCCACACUGGAACUGAGACACGGUCCAGACUCCUACGGGAGGCAGCAGUAGGGAAUCUUCCGCAAUGGGCGAAAGCCUGACGGAGCAACGCCGCGUGAGUGAAGAAGGUCUUCGGAUCGUAAAACUCUGUUAUGAGGGAAGAACAAAUGUGUAAGUAACUAUGCACGUCUUGACGGUACCUAAUCAGAAAGCCACGGCUAACUACGUG